CAGCAUGGGGAAACCAAGGCACGGCAAGGCUCUCACUGCCCGCGGUCCCACGGCCCGUCCGGUGACCUGGGUCUGAGCCUGGACGGCCUGGCCCGGUGCCGCGGUUCUGGACCCGCGGCCAUUCUGCUUCUCUGCCUUCUGGGGGCCUUCGAGCAGGUCCUGUCACUUUUGCAUUCAGCCCUUGGUUGAGAGAAAAAACAGCUCUGGACGGGGAGCAGGUGUAUUAACAUGCGUGUCCGAAGAAACCGAGAGAAUCGUAUAAACCCCAUCCGCGAAGAACUGACAGGUCUUCGGCAUUUACUGUGCCCUCCUGAGUUUGGAAUCCUAUUUGCCUAAAACAAUGGGCACUGAUGAUGGAGAGUCCGAGGCCCCUGUCCGCAUCCUGGGUCUGCCCCUGCCAGCUGCCUGCACUCUGGCAGGAAACCCAGCAGCUCUUAGCCCUGGGCCCUCUUCCUCAAGUGGCGAAACGAUGCCACCUCUGAAGGAUCGUUUGUGGGAACACGAAGAUGUGUGCAAAAGCGCAAGGCACAAGAGGAGUUAAUAUGGUGAUCAUUAACUUUUACAUGAAAACUUAUUUGAGUCAGCACAAGGUGGUGUCCUGAGCAUUGCCGUAAAGUGUAGUAAAUGCCGGGUUUCUUAUCAGAGUCUCAGUUGCCACAUGUGGUAAUGAAAUCAUCCCUCAGAGAGUGGGGUCAUGCAGAACCUGAGUUACUCGCUGCUCGCCAGGGACGGGGAGUAGCCCACAAACGGAAGAGACCCGUGAACCAGCCUGUGCUCUAAUGCGUCUGUGGGUGUGACAUGGGACAGGAGCCAUGGGCACACCAGGCCACGCGCCAGGAGCUGCCCAGCUGCCCAGCGGGUCUGUGUGCCUGAGCAUCGCGGGCCCAGAGCUGCACUCCUGUGCAGAAGUACCUCGCAUGCCACACCACCCCGUGUGUUGAGAAUCUAAGUCCUACCCUCCCCACCUGCACUUGGCCUGGCUGAGCAUGGCUUCCUCGGGCGCAGGUGUGUGUUCCAGGCCACUAAGAGCAAGCCGCUCGCCGUGGAGAGGCUGCUGGUCUCUGGGGCCUCUCCUCACUGACACCCUCAGUGAGGGCAGCUCACCAAUUCCUGAGCUGAUUCCGACCGUGUCUGGAGAUGUCUGGUUACUGGGCUCCUCAGAGAGCGAGACUUGGGGCGGCUGUAAACCUUGGCUGCGGGGGACCACCCUCGAGGGUGCCCUGUGGGGCUUCCUGGCGACUUCAGCCAGCCUUGUACUCCAAGCUCUGUUUUGUGGACGGGUCUCCUCUGUUGCACGUUCCUGUUGCUGUAAUUCUGACGCGGGCAGGCCAUGCAGCCGCGUCUCGGCCAGGGAAGUGUGACCAGGCUUCUCGCUUGAAAGGAGACUUUGUGUGGGGAUUAGUCACUCGGCCAUUGGUAGCUGUCCGGUGCCAAAGCGUUAGGACCCCUCCAGCGCGUCUGGGGUCAUGUCCCUGGGUCCCCAGAAGCUGUUCUGGCCCAUGCGUCUGGCAUGGACCUGUGCUGCUUUGGGCUGGUGCCUAGAUGUCCCCUGGGUCCACCUAAUUUCCCAAAGAGAUAGCCCAUUGGACAGCAGGGAGUGUGUCGGCCUCCCGCCAUUCCUCACAGUACCAGCAGCGCCCCGGGCCUUCCAGAACGGUUGGAACGGGCAGAUGGAAGGCUGCAGUGGGGCCGUGACAUGGGGGAUCUGGCCUCGUGCUGCUCCUGUUGUCCCACUGAGCCGCACCGCGGGCGAGGGAGCAUGGGACCUCGCGUGUGAACAGCCAGUGUGGGUGCCUCGGCCAGAGCGACAAGGGACAUGAAGGUCUUGGGUUCUGAGGCUGCAGGCCCGGAUCCCGAGUAGCCUGCAGCCAGCCAGCCGGCUGCGGACCAGCUCACUCCGUGCUGACGUGCUGACGAGCUGCGCGGCCCCUGGAGUGGGCAGGAGGGCGCUUCUUUUCGUCGCAGAUAUGCACCCGCCACAGGCAAGCUCUGCCCAUCCGUAUGGCUCCCCAUGCUUAGGUCCUGGUUUCUCCACCACAGCCUGACCCGCGGCUGUGCAUCCCAUGGCCUUUUAGACCUCAGGGUCCCAACCCAUAAUCUCCUGGUCCACGCUCUCCUGGCCCACAGUCUCCCGGGCCAUGGUCUCCUGACCACCGUCUCCUGACCACGGUCUCCUGGCAUGAACCAAUGGUGCCUCCACUGCUGGCCCAGGGGACGUCAGCUGAGUCCGCACAGGAGGUCCGUAUGUGUGUGUCUUUCAGUCAUGGGUGGGGUUGGUUAUGAGGGAAGUUGCUGAAGGAUGAAGAGGCGAAAGGUUUGCUUACCUCUAACGUGACACUAAAAACUCCAGGGGAAUUUCACUGUAAUGACGUGACCUGGUGCCCCAGCCCCCUGGGACAGCUGUCACUAGCGACCACACGCAGGGAGGCUGCUAAAGGACAGAAGUUCACUUCCAGCACUCCAGAGGCUGCAGGUCAGGGUCAGGGCGCUGGCACGCUUGCAUCCUGGCGAGGACCUUCUCCGUGGUUCCUAGGAGUCACCUUCUUGCCGUGGGCGGGGCAUGGGAGCUCCUGGGGCUGAGGACCCCGUCCCGACACAUGGGCUCUACCUCCUCAUACCAUCAUUUUGGGGAUUGGGUCUUCAACACAUGGGUUCCGGGGGACACACUGAUCAGUAGCUAGCAAGUGGGGUGUGUUACUGUAACGGCGACGUCCGCACGGCGUCUGCCGCUCGGGUCUGUGAGUCCUGCUGUGAGUCCUGCUGAAGUGCAGCAGCAGGACGGAUGUCGUGUUAGCGUGGCCGGGGUGUGAGUCCGUUGGGGCCGCACCUUCAUUCCACGCAGGGCAGUGACAGCCUUCGAACCCCCUCCACAGAGGCCGCGUAACCCGCUCUUCAGAGCUGCGCGGUGGGCUGAGACCGUGGGUCUGUUUCUGAGCCCUGUCCCCACCCCACACGAUCUUGGCUGAGGCGCGCAACUCGGCUCAGCUUCAGUUCCUCCGCUUACAAACUGCGGGCAGGAAUCGUGCCUGCGGAGAGGGCUGGUGUGAGGCUCGGCUGUAAGCGGGAAGCAUCUGUCGGGGUGCUUGGUGCACGGUAGCUGCGCGGGAAAACCUUGUCAAUGUUGCCUGGGUGCCGUCGGUGCUUGCUUAGGGCAACAGGCUGAGUUUCCACUGGAGUCCAUUCCUUCGGCCUUACAUCACAACAGCCCCACAGGGUGCCUCUACGAUUUGCCGGGUGACGGUUACUUCUUACCAUAGCUCGGUGAGGUGGACGUGAUUGUCUCAUUCUGCAGAUAAGGGUUUUUGAUAUUGGAGAGGUCGGCCGGUCUGUUUCCUGGCACCAGCUGCUGAGUGGCACAGUUGGAAACGGACCCCAAAGCCACUUUCCUCGCUGCGCUGCGUUUGAGGAGUAACUUAGCGCCUGACCUCUUUAGGGCCGCUGCCGUAUUUGGUGAUCCGUGGGGAUGGAGGAGCGAAGGCACUGCGGGUCAUGUGCUGCGAACGAUCCCACGACACUGGUGUUGACUCCAGCAUGGGCUGUGUGUGUGCACGGUGGGGUCUCUUCUGGGAACAACAGGCAGGCAGGGCCGUGCUGCCUGUGCCGUGCUGCCUGCCAUCAAUAGGGAUGUUUCCGUGCUUUACCUAAGGGAUGGUACGUGCCUCAUUCUGUUAGAGGAACUCACCAUUGAAACCGUCUCCAUUUUACAGUCUCCUAAAGGACCUUCCGUUUUGAUGAAAUCUUAUACCUCUUUUCUGAAAGAAAAUAAAAGAAGCUCCCCGGCCUCUCAGGACGUACUGGUCUGUGUCGUCUGAGUGACGUGGUGGCCGCAAACAGGGCGCCCGUCGCAGCAGCAUGCUCUCUGUCUUGCACGGUGCAGGCCCGUCAUCAAUCUGCAGGGCCACCUGGGCUGCCUGCCGACCGCUGUGCUGAGACUGCGGGUUUGACCGUCGAGUGUUCCUCCUUCGGCUCCUCCGCCAGCCACAGCCCCACGGAACAGGAUGCAGGAGAAGGGCAAGAAACGGUUAUUUGCAAACGGUGCUAACUGUCCCCAUGCCGGCCUUUCAAGGGUCACUCCCUGAGGACAGGCUCAGUCCACAAUUCAGGUAUUUAGAAACGUGAGCUCCAAUCAGGAUACACGGUGGAGCUAGAAAAUUUGAAUUUAUAACCAAACCAAUGCGGGGCAGGCAAUACCCCAUUUCCGUCAUCUGCCCCCAGCCGGAACCGCAAGGGCUGACACAGGCACAGACGUUCUCCAAACCAUCUACUCAGGCAAAACCACACGCCUGCUGCCGCUCGUGCGGGAACGGACAGGUGGCUUCGGAGCCCUCCGGCCACGGGGGAGGACGCUAGACCUCUGCGGCAGGGUGCCGUGUUGGUGUUCCGAAGACGUGAGUUGUAACACUCAGAAAGGAAAAGAAUUAGGAUGAGCACGUGAAGGUUGGAGAGCUGGGGCCAUGGUGGACGUGAGAAACUUCCAGCAGGAGGGCCAGAGGCCGGCGCCUCAGGGCUGGGCACUCCAGGCCGUGCUCUGUCUCCGGCCAAUAUGGCCUCACCCAUGGGGCGUUUUCCUGUCUUCAGCCUGGCCCACUUCUCUGUCUUUCCCAUUUCUCUUCAUGGGCCCACUCUACACUGGCUAGUGUGAGCAACUGUGCUCUAACCCAUUAUAUUUAAAAAAUGAAAUGAGGGGCGCCUGGGUGGCACAGUGGGUUAAGCCUCUGCCUU